rnacentral:rRNA from 1 species
UACGUAGGGUGCAAGCGUUUGUCCGGAAUUAUUGGGCGUAAAGAGCUCGUAGGCGGUUUGUCGCGUCUGCUGUGAAAACCCGAGGCUCAACCUCGGGCCUGCAGUGGGUACGGGCAGACUAGAGUGUGGUAGGGGAGACUGGAAUUCCUGGUGUAGCGGUGAAAUGCGCAGAUAUCAGGAGGAACACCGAUGGCGAAGGCAGGUCUCUGGGCCACUACUGACGCUGGAGAAGCGAAAAGCAUGGGGGAGCGAACAGG